ACUUCUGAGAAAACAAGACAGUGAUUUCCCUGUUCCUAAAGUGUGGUGACCAGCAACGGCUUCCAGGAGACAUUCCCAGGAGGAUCGUUGGCUUCUAAAGUGAUCCAGCGUGGCUGAGUUACUGAAGGGUUAACAGAAAAGGAGAAGACAAGAAUUUGGAGUCUCUGCUCCCACGGUCUAAUGGCAAACACCGGAUCUGAGCGCCUACAACGCUGCUCCCCAACUGCAUAGCUUGGCUCAUGGGUGACUCAUAGGCAGGAUACGGUGAACCACCUCCUGUAACAGCUGGCCAGAUGUCACUGCCCAUCGGCUGGACACCACAGCAUCUGGAGCUUCAGACAGCAGCAGAGAGGAGGAAAACGGGCUGA